rnacentral:rRNA from 1 species
AUUGAACGCUGGCGGCAGGCCUAACACAUGCAAGUCGAGCGGAUGAAUGGAGAGUGCUCCUGGAUUCAGCUGGCGACGGGCGGGUGAGUCCUAGGUAUCUGCCUUGCAGUUGGGGCUAAGGUCCGUACGCGGGCGCUAAUACCGCAUACGUCCAUAGGGAGAAAGGGGGGGAUCUUCGGACCUACAGCUAUUAGGUGAGCCUAGGACGGAUUAGCUAGUUGGUUGGGUAAAGGGGUACCAAGGCGACGAUCCGAAGCUGGUCUGAGAGGAUGAUCAGCCACACUGGAACUGAGACACGGUCCAGACUCCUACGGGAGGCAGCAGUGGGGAAUAUUGGACAAUGGGCGAAAGCCUGAUCCAGCCAUGCCGCGUGAGUGAAGAAGGUCUUCGGAUUGUAAAGCACUUUUAUUUGGGAAGAAGAGCAGUAGGUUAAUACCUCGCUGUUUUGACGGUACCAAAAGAAUAAGCACCGGCUAACUUCGUG